CGAAUGCUGACAUAAGUAACGAUAAAGCGGGUGAAAAGCCCGCUCGCCGGAAGACCAAGGGUUCCUGUCCAACGUUAAUCGGGGCAGGGUGAGUCGACCCCUAAGGCGAGGCCGAAAGGCGUAGUCGAUGGGAAACAGGUUAAUAUUCCUGUACUUGGUGUUACUGCGAAGGGGGGACGGAGAAGGCUAUGUUGGCCGGGCGACGGUUGUCCCGGUUUAAGCGUGUAGGCUGGUUUUCCAGGCAAAUCCGGAAAAUCAAGGCUGAGGCGUGAUGACGAGGCACUACGGUGCUGAAGCAACAAAUGCCCUGCUUCCAGGAAAAGCCUCUAAGCAUCAGGUAACAUCAAAUCGUACCCCAAACCGACACAGGUGGUCAGGUAGAGAAUACCAAGGCGCUUGAGAGAACUCGGGUGAAGGAACUAGGCAAAAUGGUGCCGUAACUUCGGGAGAAGGCACGCUGAUAUGUAGGUGAAGCGACUUGCUCGUGGAGCUGAAAUCAGUCGAAGAUACCAGCUGGCUGCAACUGUUUAUUAAAAACACAGCACUGUGCAAACACGAAAGUGGACGUAUACGGUGUGACGCCUGCCCGGUGCCGGAAGGUUAAUUGAUGGGGUCAGCGCAAGCGAAGCUCUUGAUCGAAGCCCCGGUAAACGGCGGCCGUAACUAUAACGGUCCUAAGGUAGCGAAAUUCCUUGUCGGGUAAGUUCCGACCUGCACGAAUGGCGUAAUGAUGGCCAGGCUGUCUCCACCCGAGACUCAGUGAAAUUGAACUCGCUGUGAAGAUGCAGUGUACCCGCGGCAAGACGGAAAGACCCCGUGAACCUUUACUAUAGCUUGACACUGAACAUUGAGCCUUGAUGUGUAGGAUAGGUGGGAGGCUUUGAAGUGUGGACGCCAGUCUGCAUGGAGCCGACCUUGAAAUACCACCCUUUAAUGUUUGAUGUUCUAACGUGGACCCGUAAUCCGGGUUGCGGACAGUGUCUGGUGGGUAGUUUGACUGGGGCGGUCUCCUCCUAAAGAGUAACGGAGGAGCACGAAGGUUGGCUAAUCCUGGUCGGACAUCAGGAGGUUAGUGCAAUGGCAUAAGCCAGCUUGACUGCGAGCGUGACGGCGCGAGCAGGUGCGAAAGCAGGUCAUAGUGAUCCGGUGGUUCUGAAUGGAAGGGCCAUCGCUCAACGGAUAAAAGGUACUCCGGGGAUAACAGGCUGAUACCGCCCAAGAGUUCAUAUCGACGGCGGUGUUUGGCACCUCGAUGUCGGCUCAUCACAUCCUGGGGCUGAAGUAGGUCCCAAGGGUAUGGCUGUUCGCCAUUUAAAGUGGUACGCGAGCUGGGUUUAGAACGUCGUGAGACAGUUCGGUCCCUA
rnacentral:rRNA from 1 species